UACGUAGGUGGCAAGCGUUGUCCGGAAUUAUUGGGCGUAAAGCGCGCGCAGGCGGUCCUUUAAGUCUGAUGUGAAAGCCCACGGCUCAACCGUGGAGGGUCAUUGGAAACUGGAGGACUUGAGUGCAGAAGAGAAGAGUGGAAUUCCACGUGUAGCGGUGAAAUGACGUAGAGACUGUGGAGGAACACCAGUGGCGAAGGCGACUCUUUGGUCUGUAACUGACGCUGAGGCG
rnacentral:rRNA from 1 species